rnacentral:rRNA from 1 species
AGAUUGAACGCUGGCGGCAUGCCUUACACAUGCAAGUCGAACGGCAGCACGGGAGCAAUCCUGGUGGCGAGUGGCGAACGGGUGGGUAAUAUAUCGGAACGUGCCCAGUCGUGGGGGAUAACGUAGAGAAAUUUACGCUAAUACCGCAUACGAUCUAAGGAUGAAAGCGGGGGACCUUCGGGCCUCGCGCGAUUGGAGCGGCUGAUAUCAGAUUAGGUUGUUGGUGAGGUAAAAGCUCACCAAGCCGACGAUCUGUAGCUGGUUUGAGAGAACGACCAGCCACACUGGGACUGAGACACGGCCCAGACUCCUACGGGAGGCAGGCAGUGGGAAUUUUGGACAAUGGGCAAAGCCUGAUCCAGCAAUGCCGCGUGCAGGAAGAAGGCCUUACGGUUAGUAAACUUGCGUUUUGUAACGGUAACGUAAAAGGUCUACGCCCGUAAUACCGGUGGCCCGAAUCGGUAACGGUAACCGGUUAAGAAA